ACUGAGUAGGAUAAAGUCAAACUCACCAAUGAGCGCUGCUAAAAUUAUAACAGUUUUCAUGAUUUCGUGAUAAUUAUCGAUCACUGUAAGGAAACGAAUGAGAUUGAGAAGCUUAUUGCGAACUUUUAUAUGAAUGAUACUGUCCAGAAGGAAUUCCAUAAUUAAGAAAGUCCAAAUGAAAGCAACAUACAUAGGAUAUGUUCAGCAAUGGCAGAAGAGAUCAACAGGUGAUCUUCCAGGGUUUCUCAACCAAGAAAAUGUGCAUGGUAAUA